GAUGAACGCUGGCGGCGUGCCUAAUACAUGCAAGUCGAGCGAACAGACGAGGAGCUUGUUCCUCUGUCGUUAGCGGCGGACGGGUGAGUAACACGUGGAUAAUCUACCUAUAAGAGUGGGAUAACUUCGGGACACCGGAUCUUAUCCGGGAUAAUAUAUUGAACCGUAUGGUUCAAUAGUGAAAGUCGGUGUUGCUGUCAGUUAUAGCUGGUUCUCGGCCGGAUUGGCUGGUUGUUAAUGUAACGGGUUAGCAAGGGAAGGAUGCGUAGCCGACGUGACGGGGUGGUAGCCCGCACUGGAAGGGGACCAGGGACAAGGCUCCUGCGGGAGGCAGCAGUAUGGAAUCUUCGGCAAGGGGGGAAAGCUUGACGGAGCAGCGCCACGUGAGUGGUGAAGGUCUUCGGAUCGGAAAACUCUGUUAUUAGGGAAAAACAAAUGUGUAAGUAACUGUACACGUCUUGACGGUACCUAACCAGAAAGCCACGGCUAACUACGUG
rnacentral:rRNA from 1 species